UAGAGAGGAUGGCCGACUUCAGCUCUGUUAAAGGCAAAAAGGUGCAAAUAAUAGAAAUUCAUGUCCUCUUCUGACCACACUGUCUGCAUCCUUAAGUGAUUGGAGGCUCAUUACGGGGCAUCGUUUCCUCCAGAAAACCUCUGUUUUCAGAUGAUCUGGGUAGUCCCUCAGCAUCGGGCUUCCAUGCCUGCCGUAAUGGAGUGGUGGGAGUAGUUUCUUGGCUCUCUCUGACUGCUUCCUACCUCCUUUCAGAAGUAACCCUGGAAUGUAUGUAUGUAGCUUGCGGCAGCUAGAGUAGAGCUCUGCUUCUGAGGUGACAAUUGGCAAAUGAAACGCAUUAACUAAAAGCAUCACCUAACAUCUGCGUCACUCUUUCCUGUGUUUUGAAAUCCAUGGUUUUGUUUUUCCUUUAAAGUCCCCUUAUUUUUAUUCAAAGUCCCCUUAAGGUCAUCGUUUGCCAAGUUUGUGGAUGCAGAAACCAUCUCCUCCGUAGCUUGACAUGUUUACCCCAGUAUUAGCAAUUUAUUGUAAAUAACGGAUCCAUAUAUCAUGGACAAUCAGCUUAGGGGGUGGCGGUCCCUCUGCUUGCUAGGUUAGGAACAUGUGUGUGCUGAUAGAUUGGAAUCUAUUAUAUCCUGAAAGAAAGGGGAAUUUCAUUUUGAUUGAUUAGGAUUUUUUUUCAAAGUCUGUGUUUGUCACUGAGAAGUUUUCUUUUUAACUUAGAUCUUUAUAGCUGAUGCUUAAUUACCACAUAGGAAAGUGAUACACUACAGGAAAACAGACUAUGAACUGAAGAUAAAUUGUUAAUAUUACUAAAAUUGAAAUGAAGCUCAUUAUUCUAAGUUUGACAAGAAUUUUCUUAGCAAAUUAAAUAUAGUGGUUGUUAUUACUUUACUUAUCUUUAAUCUUUUUGUUCUUUUGUGUAUUGGGGUAUAUGGACGUGUAAGAGUUUGUAUAUGUGAACGUGUGUGUGUUGUGGGUUGUACACAUAGAGGUUAAUUUUGAAUAUCUUCCUUAAUGGCUCCCUAUCUUAGUGUUUUGAGACAGGGUCUCACACUGAACCUGAAGCCGACUACCUGGUCAGUAAUCUGUGGGUGAAUCCUUCUGUCCUUCUCCCCAACAUUGGGAUUACAGAUACAUGAGCUGUGCCUUGCUGUUCACACAGAUACCAGGGAUGGAGCUUGGGUCCUUAGGCUGUGUGGCAAGGACUUUAUCAACAGAGCCAUCUCUGCAGCCAGUGUAUGGUAUUAUAGCUGAUAAGGGAAAGACACUAAAGGAGAGGGGUCUUGCUGAGUCUAAGAAAUGUUUACAAAAGGACUUCUUCAUUCUAGCAAACCUAUUUUGACUCUCUAUAUCUUAUUUAUGUAUGCAUUCUUCAUUCAUGUUUUGAGAUAAGGUCUCACUAUGUAGCCUAGCUGACCUGGAAUUCACUAUGGAGCCAUGGCUGGCCUCAAACUAAAAAAGGCAUUCAUCACAUACUCUGAAAUUACUUAAUUACCCUUUAAUGCUAUGCUUUACUUGGUAAGGAGAUGGAUGGAGCCCACUCCACCAAUGUACAUUAGGAGUUCAUUUUACUAGCCUACUUAAUCUAUAUUAGAUGGGACCUAAUAUAGCUCUGAUGGUUUUCAUGGUUAAGUUUUGGCCUUGACUAUGUCAUCCACUUACUUGGCUCAAGGGCAGCGAGGAAGCAAAACUUUGUCUCAUGACCAGGGCAGCAAGGUGGAACUUACUCUCAGGAAGAGACAGUCUGGGAAUCUCUUGUGUUCCAUACUUCAUAGUAAUGAAAACCAAUGAAGAAAGAGGAGAAGGUACCAAGGGGCCGUGGUGAGCAGGAUGAUUCUAGAAGGAGAGCAAUAAUCAGAGAUGCCUGCGACAAAGAAGCCGUGAGCUGAACUUCCACAAUGGCCCAAAUCCAUGAGCUGAACUUUCUCAAUGGCCCGAAUCUCCCGAGUGUUUGAAACACUACCUUCCCAGCUGUCCAUCAAGAGAAUGUGUUGUACAGUGGAGGGUAUGAGCGGGAUGGGAGAAAAGGCCAAGGGCAUGCUGGGGAGCCAGUCCAAGAGGAGACCCUUGAGGGUAAAGCUCCUGCCAUGAGUUAAGCAAUGCUAACGUUAAGCAGUUAGAUGCUCUGCCUGCUCUUGGCGAGGAUCUGGACUUGGUUCUCAGCACCCACAGGAAGGCUCACAACUACCUGCAACUCCAGCGCCAGGGGAUCCAACGCCCUCUUCCGGCCUCUAAGAGCAAUUGAUGCGUAUAUAGACUAGUAGACACAAACAUGCGCAUAAAUGAAAAGAAAUGGAUUAUGU
rnacentral:lncRNA from 1 species